rnacentral:rRNA from 1 species
AGUCGAACGCAGUAGCAAUACUGAGUGGCAAACGGGUGAGUAUAAUGUGGGAAUCUGCCUCUUGGUUUGGAAUAACACGGGGAAACUUGUGCUAAUACUGAAUAAGCCCUUACGGGGAAAGUUUUAACGCCGAAAGAUGAGCCUGCACUUGAUUAGCUAGUUGGUAAGGUAAAAGCUUACCAAGGCAACGAUCAAUAGCUGUUCUUAGAGGAAGACCAGCCACAUUGGGACUGAGACACGGCCCAGACUCCUACGGGAGGCAGCAGUGGGGAAUCUUGCACAAUGGGGGAAACCCCGAUGCAGCGAUGCCGCGUGAGUGAAGAAGGCCUUUGGGUCGUAAAACUCUUUCGUCGGGGAAGAAAAUGACUGCACCCGAAUAAGAAGGUCCGGCUAACUUCGUGCCAGCAGCCGCGGUAAUACGAAGGGACCUAGCGUAGUUCGGAAUUACUGGGCUUAAAGAGCUCGUAGGUGGUUAAAAAAGUUGAUGGUGAAAUCCCAAGGCUCAACCUUGGAACUGCCAUCAAAACUUUUUAGCUAGAGUGUGAUAGAGGUAAGUGGAAUUUCUAGUGUAGAGGUGAAAUUCGUAGAUAUUAGAAAGAACACCAAAUGCGAAGGCAACUUACUGGGUCACUACUGACACUGAGGAGCGAAAGCAUGGGUAGCGAAGAGGAUUAGAUACCCUCGUAGUCCAUGCCGUAAACGAUGUGUGCUAGACGUUGGAAAUAUAUUUUUCAGUGUCGCAGCGAAAGCAUUAAGCACACCGCCUGGGGAGUGCGACCGCAAGGUUAAAACUCAAAUGAAUUGACGGGGACCCGCACAAGCAGUGGAGCAUGUGGUUUAAUUCAAAGAUACGCGCAGAACCUUACCAACACUUGACAUGUUCGUCGCGAGACUAAGAGAUUAGUCUUUUCAGUUCGGCUGGA